rnacentral:sRNA from 1 species
GCAGACGAGGCAGGGGGAGGUUUGCACUCGGCGUGGCGCGGGUGAGCGGCGUGCCCUCGAGCACCCGGCCGCCAGUUCGGAUGCUCCCGAUCCUCGGGGAGCCGGGGCGCUGCGCCGGAGUCACUUCAGCCCACGUUGUUCAGGUGACACCCGAGGAAGAGAAGACUCCAGUGUGCAAAACAUUUCGGGGUUUCCGGGCCAGCGGUUCCGGGCGCGCCUCUCGGGCGGCGGCGCAGAACUACAACCCCCAGACUCCCCGGCGUGGCGGCACGUGGGCCCGAGCCGGGCGGCCGCGGAUAUAAAGCGCGGCGGCGGCUGCCGGGCUGAGCGGCGGCACGGACAGAGCGGAGGCCUGGAAGGGGAAACUGAAGCAGAAAGAGGUUACUUAAUGGGCUCAAGGUCACCUACCUGACCUACCAGCAGCUCAAUGGCCUUCCCAAAGAAGAAACUUCAGGGUCUUGUGGCUGCAACCAUCACGCCAAUGACUGAGGAUGGUUUUAAGAAAGACUGGCAUCAGCUGUUUCUCAAUGCAUCAGUCACUUGUUCGCAAAUCAAACAGAAGACAUGUGAUUGCAUGAAUCGGCAGGAUUUACUUCCUGUUACAGAAGAAAUCAACUUUUCAGUAAUUGGUCAGUAUGUGGAUUAUCUUGUGAAAGAACAGGGAGUGAAGAACAUUUUUGUGAAUGGCACAACGGGAGAAGGCCUGUCCCUGAGCGUCUCAGAGCGUCGCCAGGUCGCAGAGGAGUGGGUGACAAAAGGGAAGGACAAGCUGGAUCAGGUGAUAAUUCACGUAGGAGCACUGA